rnacentral:rRNA from 1 species
CGUACACUCCUGCGGGAGGCAGCAGUGGGGAAUAUUGGACAAUGGGCGCAAGCCUGAUCCAGCCAUGCCGCGUGAGUGAUGAAGGCCCUAGGGUUGUAAAGCUCUUUCACCGGAGAAGAUAAUGACGGUAUCCGGAGAAGAAGCCCCGGCUAACUUCGUGCCAGCAGCCGCGGUAAUACGAAGGGGGCUAGCGUUGUUCGGAAUUACUGGGCGUAAAGCGCACGUAGGCGGAUCGAUCAGUCAGGGGUGAAAUCCCAGGGCUCAACCCUGGAACUGCCUUUGAUACUGUCGAUCUGGAGUAUGGAAGAGGUGAGUGGAAUUCCGAGUGUAGAGGUGAAAUUCGUAGAUAUUCGGAGGAACACCAGUGGCGAAGGCGGCUCACUGGUCCAUUACUGACGCUGAGGUGCGAAAGCGUGGGGAGCAAACAGGAUUAGAAACCCCAGUAGUCCCAUGA